UGACGAGCGGCGGACGGGUGAGUAAUGCUUGGGAACAUGCCUUGAGGUGGGGGACAACAGUUGGAAACGACUGCUAAUACCGCAUAAUGUCUACGGACCAAAGGGGGCUUCGGCUCUCGCCUUUAGAUUGGCCCAAGUGGGAUUAGCUAGUUGGUGAGGUAAUGGCUCACCAAGGCGACGAUCCCUAGCUGGUUUGAGAGGAUGAUCAGCCACACUGGGACUGAGACACGGCCCAGACUCCUACGGGAGGCAGCAGUGGGGAAUAUUGCACAAUGGGCGCAAGCCUGAUGCAGCCAUGCCGCGUGUGUGAAGAAGGCCUUCGGGUUGUAAAGCACUUUCAGUCAGGAGGAAAGGUUAGUAGUUAAUACCUGCUAGACUGUGACGUUACUGACAGAAGAAGCACCGGC
rnacentral:rRNA from 1 species